GCAAAAGAAUCUACGUAUCUCAACGAAAUGAAUCAUAACAAGUGGGCGAAGCAAAAUCACCCGCCCGCUCGUGUUGAAGCUAGGGUGGUCACCAUAACUUCAGGCCUCCCAUCUCCCUGGGCAGAUGAAGCCGACCAUGAAGCGACGUCGGAUGAAGCAGGAUCGUUCUUCAAGAAGACAACUGCAAUCAGUGAUAAUUUUCCCACUUUGUAAGCUGCAUUGCGAGCUAUAGAAAGCAAUGAGUGGAGGCUGGUGUUGGAUUGAAGGUUCCAAGAACAGGGCACCAAAAGCCAAGGGUAUAUGUUGUUGCUAAUUUAGUUCCAACAGCUCAUUUUGGGAGAGUAGCCUUGUGCAGUUCGGCAUAUGUGAGUUGGUUCUCUGGUGAAAAUGCUCAUGUUUAUAUGUACAGGGGGCUGGAGGUGGAUGGGCUAGAUGUGAAGGCAUUGUUGAACUUUGCAUAAAGCAGCUGCCUGGUUCAAUGUAUUGUUUUUUGGUUCUUUUGAAAUCAUAAUGAGCCGCUAAGCAAAUCGAACCAGUGUGACUGUUACAAGACUGUAAAUGCCACGCGAAGGCAGCAGGCGAUUUUUUUCUCCCCACCUGAAUUUUUUUAGGUUUACAAAAAAGAAACAUAAACUUUUAGUCCUCAA